CUGACCCCAUGCCGAACUCAGAAGUGAAACGCCGUAGCGCCGAUGGUAGUGUGGGGUCUCCCCAUGCGAGAGUAGGGGACUGCCAGGC
rnacentral:rRNA from 1 species